AAGCUGGGUUCACCUUCACCCCAGUGGAUGCCAGAAGAGCAGUGCUCAGCACAGACCCAAGGGCAGCGGAGAGAAGCUCAUGGGAUUCUUUCAGAAAGUCCUUUAGGAUUUCAUGAAGGGAUGCAACUAUACAGGCAACUGAGCAACAGUGUAGACUGAUCUCGAGCUGUUCAGAGAUGGAGUCAUAUGUCUCACAGCAGUCUUCACAGUGGAAUGAUGAUAGGCACACUCAUUUUACAGAUGGGUAUGCAGACGGGAGCUUUCUGGGGCCAGAUCCUGAGGAAGCUAAGGCUGUUCAUCACUUUCAAGGAUGUAGAAUUACAGCUACAGCAAUUUACUGGUGUUGCAGCAGAGCCCAGGCCAGUCUGCAGGAGUUCCUACCACCUGCUCUAAACCAAACUUGCAGAGAAAAAAACCUGUUUGCAACUGAACAUUGUACACAAGUUGAGACAUUUGCAUGUAACUGAGUAAUAAAAUGUUAAGAUACCAUCCAGGCUUUAUCUAUAAUGAUU
rnacentral:lncRNA from 1 species